GAGGGUAUAACUCAGUGGUAGAGUGUGUGCUUAGCAUGCACAAGGUCCUGGGUUCAAUCCCCAGUACCUCCA
rnacentral:tRNA from 1 species